CCUACGGGAGGCAGCAGUGAGGAAUAUUGGUCAAUGGGCUUACGCCUGAACCAGCCAAGUCGCGUGAGGGAAGACUGCCCUAUGGGUUGUAAACCUCUUUUGUCAGGGAGCAAUUGGCGCUACGUGUAGCGUUAUCGAGAGUACCUGAAGAAAAAGCAUCGGCUAACUCCGUGCCAGCAGCCGCGGUAAUACGGAGGAUGCGAGCGUUAUCCGGAUUUAUUGGGUUUAAAGGGUGCGUAGGCGGAAUGCCAAGUCAGCGGUAAAAUCGCGGGGCUCAACCUCGCUCCGCCGUUGAAACUGGCGUGCUUGAGUGGGCGAGAAGUAUGCGGAAUGCGGGGUGUAGCGGUGAAAUGCAUAGAUAUCACGCAGAACUCCGAUUGCGAAGGCAGCAUACCGGCGCCCAACUGACGCUGAAGCACGAAAGCGUGGGUAUCGAACAGGAUUAGAUACCCUGGUAGUC
rnacentral:rRNA from 1 species